AUCCAUCUGAUGAGUCCCAAAUGGGACGAAACGCGCAUCCUGGAU
rnacentral:hammerhead_ribozyme from 1 species